rnacentral:rRNA from 1 species
GAUCAUGGCUCAGGAUGAACGCUGGCGGCGUGCUUAACACAUGCAAGUCGAACGGAUAAGGCACCUUCGGGUGUGCAUAGAGUGGCGAACGGGUGAGUAACACGUGCCCAACCUGCCCCCCGCUCCGGGAUACCCCCGGGAAACCGGGAUCAAUACCGGAUGACGCGGGAAGGCCGCAUGGCCUUCCUGCCAAAGCCCAGGCGGCGGGGGAUGGGGGCGCGGCCCAUCAGGUAGACGGCGGGGUGACGGCCCACCGUGCCCG